rnacentral:rRNA from 1 species
ACGAACGCUGGCGGCGUGCCUAACACAUGCAAGUCGAGCGAGAAAGCCCGCAAGGGUGAGUACAGCGGCGCACGGGUGCGUAACACGUGGGUAAUCUUCCUUGGAGCUCGGAAUAACUCCCCGAAAGGGGUGCUAAUGCCGGAUGAGACCACGGGAUCUUUGGAUCCUGAGGGAAAAGGCGGCCUCUGUAUACAAGCUGUCACUCCAAGAUGAGCCCGCGGCCCAUCAGCUAGUUGGCGGGGUAAUGGCCCACCAAGGCUACGACGGGUAGCUGGUCUGAGAGGACGAUCAGCCACACUGGAACUGGGACACGGUCCAGACUCCUACGGGAGGCAGCAGUGGGGAAUCUUGCGCAAUGGGCGAAAGCCUGACGCAGCAACGCCGCGUGUGUGAUGAAGGUCUUCGGAUCGUAAAGCACUGUCGGGAGGGAAGAAUAAGGGCGGUAACAUCCGUCCGAUGGUACCCAAGGAAGCACCGGCUAACUUCGUGCCAGCAGCCGCGGUAAUACAGAGGGUGCUAAGCGUUGCUCGGAAUUACUGGGCGUAAAGCGCCGUAGGCGGUCCUUUGAAGUCGGGUGUGAAAGCCCUGGAGCUCAACUCCGAGGAAGCUGCGCUUCCAAAUACAUGGGAGACUUGAGUACCGGAGAGGGUGAGUGGAACUUCCGAGUGUAGAGGUGAAAUUCGUAGAUAUUCGGCAGGAACACCAGUGGCGAAGGCGGCUCACUGGCCCGGAUACUGACGCUGAGGAUGCGAAAGCGUGGGUAGCAAACAGGAUUAGAUACCCUGGUAGUCCACGCCUGUAAACGAUGAGGCUAGGCCGUUGGCGGGCUUGACCCCGUCAGUGGCCGCAGCUAACGCAUUUAAGCGCUUCCGCCUGGGAAGUACGGUCGCAAGGAUUAAAACUCAAAGGAAUUGACGGGGGCCCGCACAAGCGGUGGAGCAUGUGGUUCAAUUCGAAGCAACGCGCAGAACCUUACCAGCCCUUGACAUCCCGUCGCGGAACUGCCAGAGAAGGUGGGUCCUGCAGUUCGGCUGGACCGGAGACAGGUGCUGCAUGGCUGUCGUCAGCUCGUGUCGUGAGAUGUUGGGUUAAGUCCCGCAACGAGCGCAACCCCCGCCGUUAGUUGCCAUCAUUUAGUUGGGCACUCUAAGGGGACUGCCGGUGAUAAGCCGGAGGAAGGUGGGGAUGACGUCAAGUCCUCAUGGCCCUUACUGGACAUGGGCUACACACGUGCUACAAUGGCGGUGACAAGAGGGAUGCAAAGGGCGAGACCUUGCGCUAAUCUCAAAAAGCCGUCUCAGUUCGGAUUAGGGGUCUGCAACUCGACUCCCAUGAAGUUGGAAUCGCUAGUAAUCGCAGGAUCAGCACGCUGCGGUGAAUACGUUCCCGGGCCUUGUACACACCGCCCGUCACACCAUGGGAGUUGGCUUUACCUGAAGACGGUGCGCUAACCCGCAAGGGAGGCAGCCGGCCACGGUAGGGUCAGCGACUGGGGUG